rnacentral:rRNA from 1 species
CCUACGGGAGGCAGCAGUGAGGAAUAUUGGUCAAUGGGCGCGAGCCUGAACCAGCCAAGUCGCGUGAGGGAGGACGGCCCUACGGGUUGUAAACCUCUUUUGCCGGGGAGCAACGGGCGUCACGUGUGGCGCCACUGAGAGUACCCGGAGAAAAAGCAUCGGCUAACUCCGUGCCAGCAGCCGCGGUAAUACGGAGGAUGCGAGCGUUAUCCGGAUUUAUUGGGUUUAAAGGGUGCGUAGGCGGGUCGUUAAGGCAGUGGUAAAAUUGAGGGGCUCAACCCCUUCCAGCCAUUGAAACUGGCGCUCUUGAGUGGAAGAGAAGUAUGCGGAAUGCGGGGUGUAGCGGUGAAAUGCAUAGAUAUCACGCAGAACCCCGAUUGCGAAGGCAGCAUGCCGGCUUCCGACUGACGCUGAAGCACGAAAGCGUGGGGAUCGAACAGGAUUAGAUACCCCAGUAGUC